GGAGCUGUACCUCAGAGCUAGAGCAUCUGCUUUGCAUGCAGAAGGUCCUAAGUUUGAGCCCCAGCAUCUCCA